rnacentral:rRNA from 1 species
CCUACGGGUGGCAGCAGUGAGGAAUAUUGGUCAAUGGACGAGAGUCUGAACCAGCCAAGUAGCGUGAAGGAUGACUGCCCUAUGGGUUGUAAACUUCUUUUAUAAAGGAAUAAAACGAGGCACGUGUGCCUUUUUGCAUGUACUUUAUGAAUAAGGAUCGGAUAACUCCGUGCCAGCCGCCGCGGUAAUACGGAGGAUCCGAGCGUUAUCCGGAUUUAUUGGGUUUAAAGGGAGCUUAAAUGGGUUGUUAAGUCAGUUGUGAAAGUUUGCGGCUCAACCGUAAAAUUGCAAUUGAUACUGGCAGUCUUGAGUACAGUUGAGGUAGGCGGAAUUCGUGGUGUAGCGGUGAAAUGCUUAGAUAUCACGAAGAACCCCGAUUGCGAAGGCAGCUUACUAAACUGUGACUGACAUUGAUGCUCGAAAGUGUGGGUAUCAAACAGGAUUAGAUACCCUAGUAGUC